rnacentral:rRNA from 1 species
GGAAACGGGUUAAUAUUCCCGUACUUGGUGUUACUGCGAAGGGGGGACGGAGAAGGCUAUGUUGGCCGGGCGACGGUUGUCCCGGUUUAAGCGUGUAGGCUGGUUUUCCAGGCAAAUCCGGAAAAUCAAGGCUGAGGCGUGAUGACGAGGCACUACGGUGCUGAAGCAACAAAUGCCCUGCUUCCAGGAAAAGCCUCUAAGCAUCAGGUAACAUCAAAUCGUACCCCAAACCGACACAGGUGGUCAGGUAGAGAAUACCAAGGCGCUUGAGAGAACUCGGGUGAAGGAACUAGGCAAAAUGGUGCCGUAACUUCGGGAGAAGGCACGCUGACACGUAGGUGAAGUGAUUUACUCAUGGAGCUGAAGUCAGUCGAAGAUACCAGCUGGCUGCAACUGUUUAUUAAAAACACAGCACUGUGCAAACACGAAAGUGGACGUAUACGGUGUGACGCCUGCCCGGUGCCGGAAGGUUAAUUGAUGGGGUCAGCGCAAGCGAAGCUCCUGAUCGAAGCCCCGGUAAACGGCGGCCGUAACUAUAACGGUCCUAAGGUAGCGAAAUUCCUUGUCGGGUAAGUUCCGACCUGCACGAAUGGCGUAAUGAUGGCCAGGCUGUCUCCACCCGAGACUCAGUGAAAUUGAACUCGCUGUGAAGAUGCAGUGUACCCGCGGCAAGACGGAAAGACCCCGUGAACCUUUACUAUAGCUUGACACUGAACAUUGAGCCUUGAUGUGUAGGAUAGGUGGGAGGCUUUGAAGUGUGGACGCCAGUCUGCAUGGAGCCGACCUUGAAAUACCACCCUUUAAUGUUUGAUGUUCUAACGUGGACCCGUUACCCGGGUUGCGGACAGUGUCUGGUGGGUAGUUUGACUGGGGCGGUCUCCUCCUAAAGAGUAACGGAGGAGCACGAAGGUUGGCUAAUCCUGGUCGGACAUCAGGAGGUUAGUGCAAUGGCAUAAGCCAGCUUGACUGCGAGCGUGACGGCGCGAGCAGGUGCGAAAGCAGGUCAUAGUGAUCCGGUGGUUCUGAAUGGAAGGGCCAUCGCUCAACGGAUAAAAGGUACUCCGGGGAUAACAGGCUGAUACCGCCCAAGAGUUCAUAUCGACGGCGGUGUUUGGCACCUCGAUGUCGGCUCAUCACAUCCUGGGGCUGAAGUAGGUCCCAAGGGUAUGGCUGUUCGCCAUUUAAAGUGGUACGCGAGCUGGGUUUAGAACGUCGUGAGACAGUUCGGUCCCUAUCUGCCGUGGGCGCUGGAGAACUGAGGGGGGCUGCUCCUAGUACGAGAGGACCGGAGUGGACGCAUCACUGGUGUUCGGGUUGUCAUGCCAAUGGCACUGCCCGGUAGCUAAAUGCGGAAGAGAUAAGUGCUGAAAGCAUCUAAGCACGAAACUUGCCCCGAG